rnacentral:rRNA from 1 species
UACGGAGGGGGCUAGCGUUGUUCGGAAUUACUGGGCGUAAAGCGCACGUAGGCGGCUUUGUAAGUUAGAGGUGAAAGCCCGGGGCUCAACUCCGGAAUUGCCUUUAAGACUGCAUCGCUAGAAUUGUGGAGAGGUAAGUGGAAUUCCGGGUGUAGCGGUGGAAUGCGUAGAGAUCCGGAAGAACACCAGUGGCGAAGGCGGCCCGCUGGGCAGUGGCUG